rnacentral:rRNA from 1 species
UACGUAGGGGGCAAGCGUUGUCCGGAAUCAUUGGGCGUAAAGCGCGUGUAGGCGGCUAAGUAAGUCGGGCGUGAAAUCCCACGGCUCAACCGUGGAAGUGCACUCGAAACUGCAUAGCUAGAGUCCUGGAGAGGAAGGUGGAAUGCUUGGUGUAGAGGUGAAAUUCGUAGAUAUCAAGCGGAACACCGGUGGCGAAGGCGGCCUUCUGGACAGUGACUGACGCUGAGACGCGAAAGCGUGGGGAGCAAACAGG